ACGAACGCUGGCGGCAGGCCUAACACAUGCAAGUCGAGCGCUACCUUCGGGUGGAGCGGCGGACGGGUUAGUAACGCGUGGGAAUAUACCCAGUUCUAAGGAAUAGCCACUGGAAACGGUGAGUAAUACCUUAUACGCCCUUCGGGGGAAAGCUUUAUGCACCAUUGGAUGAGCCUGCACUUGAUUAGUUUGUUGGUGGGGUAAUGGCCUACCAAGACUGUGAUCAAUAGCUGAUUUGAGAGGAUGAUCAGCCACAUUGGGACUGAGACACGGCCCAAACUCCUACGGGAGGCAGCAGUGGGGAAUCUUGC
rnacentral:rRNA from 1 species